ACCAGACUUGCUCAUGGGCACAUAAUGAAAUUGUAUAAAUAUACCCUUAGCUGGGAAUCUAAUUUAUUUUUCCUGUUCAUUAUGGGGUAGAAGGCCAUUAUGAGAUGUAUAACUUUUUUUUUUUCCCAGUGCUGGAAUUGAAAGGCUGGUGCGGGCUCUUUUUAUACUGAUGAUUUCGUCCUGAUUCAAUUUAAAGCUGGUUAGAGCUCAAAUACUGGAGCGUAAUUGACAAAGAUCGGUGUGGGUUGUAAUGCUAAUGUUGUGGCGGCGGGUUUGGCAGCGAGGGAGGCUCCCAGCGGGGUCGGUCACCGUGCGCCAUGGGGACAGCGAGCAGUGGGGCCAAGCGGGUGGCACCCAUGGGUGUCCCCUGUGUGUGUAUGUGCCCCGCGGGCAGGGUGCGAUCCUGUCCGUGUGUCCGUCAGCGGGAUUGAUUUUUGACGGUAUUGAUAUUGCUAUAAAGUCAUGUUUAUAGAGCUAUAAUUAAGCGGGGCCAUUUAGCAGGCAGUGUUAAGUGCCGAGCAGAUUUAUGGAACGGUUCAGCCUUCUGCGGUGUUAUAUUUCACCACGGAGCACACCGGGUUUGUAUGCGCUCUGCGAUUGUAUUCGGUUGACAGUGAUUAGGAUAAUGGGGGUUUCCGGGGUCAUAUUGCCAAGCUAAGGAAACAGCAAUUAUUGUCCCGCUGCAGUAUCAACUUAAUUGCAUCCAUUUGCAAGCAACACGAGCCCGGGCGUGUGGGGUGAGCUGGGAGGGCAGUGGGGUGGCCCCGAGCCUCUUGGAUGGGUGAGCCCCCAGGGAGGGGCAGGGACACGCAGAGCAGUGUUCCACUGGGGUCGUGAGACUGCAGAGCCGGACUCUGCCCAGGGAUGGAGGGGGGCAUGCACCCCGUGCCCCUCCUGCAAAGCACAGAGCUCAGAGCGAGGUGAGGGAUGCUCCGCCAUGAGAACCGCGAUCUGUCCGUCCGCCUUCCCAGGUUGGAGCGUGCUGCGCAGGGCAGCCCCCAGCUCUCGCUGCCCCAAUUCGCCGCAGGGAUCAGGUGGGCUUGUGCCGACUCAGAGGUGUUAAAUGGCUCUAAAUACUCUGCACGCUGCAAUAUCUCCACCACAGCGUUUAAUUGAGUGCCACAGAAAUGCCUAUAAAUAAAUGUAAAUGCCUCUGCCAGUACCCUCCCUCCUACAGCAUCUCCUGAGCUCGCAGGAAGCCGAUGAGCGGCUCUGCUCCGAAUCCACUCCUGUGCUGUUCUCUCCUGUCCCCACCUGAGAGCGGUGGAUCCCAGUGGUGGGAUCCCUGUGCCGACCACAGCAGCUGGCACACGUCAGUGUGGGCGUUCACACGGCAAGGGGCUGUGCCCAGGGCUGCUGAGCUGCUCUCGCUUCCCCUGACUCCUGAUGGAGAAAGAGGAAAGCUUCACAGGACGGUUGUGCCAUUGCCCUGGGGUGCAGACGUGGGAGCAUGCAUACCGUGUUGGGAAGGGGGCAGCCCUGCUCUGGGUGCUCCCAUGCCAUGCCAUCCCAUACCAUGCCAUCCCAUGCCGUGCCAUGCCGUCCCGUCCCGUCCCAUCCCAUCCCAUCCCAUCCCAUUGCUCCCACCCUGCUGCCACUGUCCCAGGUGGUGCUGGGGCUGUACCACAUCCAUCUGCGGGCAGCAGCUCGCCAGCAGUAGCAAGAAACAAAUCCAAGGGCAGGAAAUCAGACAGCAGAAAGAAGGGAAUGGAGCAUUUCACGGCUGUUUGUGCUGCUCCUGCAUCUGUAUUUGUGUCCAGAUUCCUUUGUGAUUGGAGAUUCUUAUAUACUAAAAUAGACGGAUUUCCCACCAGACUGCCUUAAAUCUCUGCCAUAUCAGGUUUUGAGUCCAAACAGACAAAAUGUGCGUGUUCUGUUUUAUCUAUUGCAAAAGGUACUUUUUGGAUGCCGGUGUGCGGUGCUGCCUCCUGGAGAAGCGCUGCUCAAUUCUUCCCACGUUUCCUUUCCCAGAGCCUUUAUAAAAUUAAAAAAAAAAAAAAGGGGAUCAGGAGCCUGAGAAAAGGGCAGUGCUGCCUGGGUGUGGGGUGGGUGCCCCAUGGCACGGCCCCGCUGUGUGAGGGCCCAGGGCUUGGGAAGCUGUGCCAACUGCGUCCCUAAAUAGGAUCCUCAGCCCUGUCACUUGACUGCCUCUUCAGCGCUGAUGAGCCACUCUGAUGUUACUAUUUAAAGCCCUAAUUGCUUUAAUCAGCUCGCCGUUGGCCUGUGUGCAGCUCAGGGGUCCGGGCGCUGUGGGGUGCCCCCAGCCCAGUAAUCAGGGGGGAACUGUGCCCUUGGGGGAGACCUGGGGAGCAGUGGGGAGAAAAGGAUCUGCUGUUACCAUGGGAUGAAGGAUGCAACAGCCGGGAGUUCCCCAUGUCCUCUCUCCCUGUGCUCACCUUUAUCACUGUUAAUUACUCCCCAGGGUCUGAGUUCACCUUUGGGGUUGGCAGUGAUGGAGGAGGACGAACCCCGCUCCUGUUCCCUCGCAGCAGUGGGACGCAUCCCAGCCCGGGCUGCAGCUUUGCCCUCGCAGCAUCUCAUCCUAGCGGUGACACAGGGCUGAACUGGUGGCGGGGGGACAGCAGCAUCCUCCAUCCCCCCCCCUCCCUACGCCCAUCAGGUGCAGUGGGACCGUGGGUGACACCAUCCCAGCGCGCCCUGGCUGAGCAGAAAGCCUUGCACAGCGGUGCUGCCGCUUCGAGCGGGCUUCCCGGGGAGCGAGGACAUCUCCGCGUUGAUUCAAGGACGUCCCUCCUCAAUUAAAUCCCGGCGUGGACUAAACAAACGGGCUGCUGAGAUCAAAGGGUUUUUUUUUUUUUUUUCCCUGGUCUUUUCAAAAGAAUAUUUUUUUGAAAUGGUUGAAAAGAUGCAUCGGAGGGAGAGCGGUGUGGGUUUUGUCUCCAUUAGCCUGGAAGGGAGGAGGAACUUCCAUUAAAUUCACAUCCAGGCGUUUGCCUGUGUUAUUGCAGAAGUGGAUUGUUGGUAAAGAUUGGUUCUGGGGCAAUGGCCUGGGCACGCUGCAGGCUGGGACCCCCCUGCGCUGCCCCACAGCACUGCAGUGCCAUUGGGGCACGGGGUGCCACCUCCCCACGUCCCCUUUGGUCUCUGCCAGAUAUGUCAUAGCAUCAUAGAAUGGCUCUGAUUGCAGGGGACCUUAAAGAUCACUCAGUUCCAACCCCAUCACCAUGGCCUGGUUGCCCCCCACCAGCUCAGGCUGCCCAGGGCCAUCCGGGCACCUCCAGGAUGGGGCACCUGUGUGGGUAUCCCCAUCCCCAGGAUGGCUGUGCAGGAAGCAGCAGGACAUCUGCUGUCCCCUCCUGGGAUGGGGCUCCCCCCGGUAGCACCGUGUCCCUGUCCCCCCACAGUGCUCCCCCACCAGCAGCCCCGUUGUGCCCCCAUGCAUUGCUGCACCUGAGCUGCAGCCCCAGCUCUGCUCUGGGGCAUUUGGCUGCAUUUCUGUGGGGGGUGAGGAGCGAUUCGGUGGCGUGCAGCUGUGCUCCCCCGCGGGCCUGACCUCCUCCUGCUCCUUCUUUCAAGGAUCCGUCUGUGCAGAAAUUGAUCCCUGUUGCCACCGGCCCCGUCUCCUUUUUCCUUUUAAAUGGUGUCACUCUUAAAUUUCCUGGCUGCUCUAAUAGAUUUUUAUAUAAUCACUACAGUGCACUUUUAAAGAGCGAUAGAUCACGUUCAUUGCUUUUCCCCGUGAUUAAUUUCCCAUAAUAGUCCUCUGUAACACCAAGGCAAAGAGAGGAGAGAGAAGAAAACCCCCACAUUAUCCACUUUGUGCUCAGAGUAUAAAUGAAUUAGAUUUAAUUUUUGUUUAAUUGUUUCCAUAGCUCAGCCUCGGCUAACUUUGCAGGAUAAUUUAUUUUGCAGUCUUGGGGAAAAGGAGGGAAGAAAGUCUGCAGCUGAGCGGUCUGCCUGUGGAUAGUGCUUAAUUACAGCUGAUCGUCUGAUCUGCUGGUAAUUAUUGGCAUCUCAUUAGGCCCCCUCCUGCUGUGCUCCCCUUUGCACUACCUGGGUCAGUGCAUGGAACAGGGCAUGGAGCAGGGUACAGAGCAUGGAGCAGAGCACAGAGCAUUGCGUGGAACAGGGCAUGGGGCAUUGCAAGGAGCGUGGCAGGGAGCAGUGCAUGGAGCAUGGCACAGAGUAGGGCAUGAAGCAUUGUGUGGAGCAGGGUGUGAAGCAUUGCACGGAGCAGAGCAUGGAGCAGGGCACAGUGCAUUGCAUGGAGAAUUGCAUGGAACAGUGUACAGAGCAUUGCAUGGAGCAGAGCACAGAGCAGGGCAUGGAGCAUUGCAUGGAGUGGGGCACAGUGCUUUACAUGGAACAUUGCAUGGGGCAUUGCAUGGGGCAUUGCAUGGAACAGUGCACAGAGCAUUGCAUGGAGCAGAGCGCAGAGCAGGGCAUGGAGCAGGGCACAGUGCAUUGCAUGGAGAAUUGCAUGGGGCAUUGCAUGGAACAGUGUACAGAGUAUUGCAUGGAGCAGAGCACAGAGCAGGACAUGGAGCAUUGCGUGGAGCAGGGCACAAUGCUUUACAUGGAACAUUGCAUGGGGCAUUGCAUGGGACAGUGUACAGAGUACUGCACGGAGCAGAGCACAGAGCAGGGCAUGGAGCAGGGCACAGUGCAUUACAUGGAACAUUGCAUGGGGCAUUGCAUGGAACUGUGCACAGAGCAUUGCAUGGAGCAGAGCACAGAGCAGGGCACGGUGCACUGCACUGCACAGAGCAGAGGACAGAGCAGGGUACAAAGCACAGAGCAUUGCAUGGAGCAUGGCACGGAGCAGGGAGAGAGAAGCGCAGAGGUAGGAAGGUUUCUGUGUUUCCACAUCCAAAGGAUGUGUGGUCCCCUGAGAGCAGCAGGCCUGGUGGCAGCGUUGUCCCGGGGCAGGACACAGCUCGGGGGGAGCCUUGUGCCAUCCCAUCCCAUCACGGAGCGUGGGAAGAGCGGCGGGCCCGGAGCCACCUCAUGUCCUCAGAGCCCAUUAAUCACUGCCGGUGGGGGCAUCGGGCCCUGCUUAAAAUGCAUCGGCAGUGCCGAGGUGAGAGCAGGAGCUUGAGAGAGCCUCUGUUAAUCUGCUCCCUCGGAGACGGGCUACCUUCGGCCUGUUAAUCAGUUGCAGUAAUUACAAUCCCAACUUUACAUGUGGAAUGUUAAUUAACGCACGGAUACAGGGGCCAGCAGCCAGGCGCCGUGUGCCCGGUGCGUGCCCGCUGUGUGCCAGGUGCGGGGCCACGCUGGUUCUGCUGCAUGGUUCCUGGGUGCUGGGGUGUCAGUUGGUGGGUUCAGUUCUUGUGCUGCUUUUGUUUUCAGUCUGGAGAGGUGGACCUGCCCGGUGGCUCCCAUCUUUCACUGUCGCCUUUCCCGUGAGCUUUUAACCAGGUUCACUAAAGCUCUUCUGUCUCUGCGUCCGUGCUGCUCAUAAAUCUGGGGCUUGUCUCUCCAGGCCCUGGGCUGUUGCCAGUCUUUAGGUGAUCCGACUCCUCAAAAUGAGGAACGCUUCUGCUGGCAUUCCUGGCUCCCUCCCAUCACCGACGGCGUUGCAAAAGGCAGUGGGGAUCAAGCAGUGCAGCAGCUGCCUGAAGCAGCAGGGCUGGGAGCAGCAGGGCUGGGAGCAGCAGGGCUGCAGCGCUCAGUGUGGAGCUCAGUGCAGUGGCAUUUGGGGACCCUGGGGCAUCGCGUUGUCACUGUAUGUCCUGGAGCCUCUGUGGCGUGAACCCCUUAUGGAGGUAGGGGAUGCUGGUGUUUCCCUGAGAAACGCACGUUGCUGUGGGCAUGGGCUGCUGUUCCUGCACCAGUGGCAGAACUGGGCACUGGCCUUGGCAAAGUGGCUGUGUUCAGGGUGCACGCUGAGUUGGGUGUGUGCAUUGGGUUGGGUGUGCGUUGAGUUGGGUGUGUGCGUUGGGUUGGGUGUGCGCUGGGUUGGGUGCAUGCAUCGGGUUGGGUGCAUGCAUCGGGUUGGGUGUGUGUUGGGUUGGCUAUGCAUGUUGGGCUGGGUAGGUGUUGGGCUGGGUGCACGUCUUGGGUUGGAUUUGUGCAGCAGGUGUGUGGAGGGCUGGGGGAUCUAAAAGUUAUGGCAUGGAGGGAGCGAGUGGGCAGCGUUGCUCCAGGGGAGUGCGCUGCAUGUGAGAUCUCUGGGGUUUGGAGCAGUGAUAGCUCACAGUCACGGGGCAGAGCUGUCCCAAGCUGCCAUGGGCUGAGGAUGGAGCAAGCCAGGUCUGAGCACUAUGUGUGAUCGGAGGUCACAGUCCUCCUCAAGCAGAAUUACAAAUUUCCUCAUUCCAUGACACUGAGCCCCGUGGGGUUUCCAGAGGGCUGAUCACGGGAAAGCUGUCAUUUCCGUCCUUAAAAUGUGAGUAGUGAGUGGCAGAUGGCGAGGGAAAGAGUUUAAGAUCUAAUAAUGGCUGGAGGAGCGGUGAAGGCAUCCCUGAGCAGCCAGAGUGUCACCUUGAGAGGCAGCGCUGUGCCUGCAGCCAGGACGGCCAUUCUCCAGGGGCAGCUCCCCUUGUCCCAUCCCUGCUGAGAUCACCCGUGCUGUCCUUUCCCACGUAUCCACCUUUUUGUGUCCAUCUUUGGGCAGUGGCACGGAGCAGCCCUUCUCCUGCCUGGGAUGCCCUGGAGCUGUUCCAUGGCUCUUUCCCCUGGUGCUCCCCUGGUACCAUCUUGUGGCCACGUUUCAGUCCCGUGCUUGGCGGAGGUGCUGCUCCCAGAGCUGCUGACAAGGAUCCAACUUCAGGAUACCUCCAUCCUUCUGUGCUAGAAAGUGCUGGCACUUCUCCACGCACCUACUGCCUGCUGGCAGAGCACCAGCUGGAGCCACCAGAGGGAACAACAGGACCUUCUGGGACCGUCCCUGCAGGGCACUGGGGCUGCAUGGGGCGAGGAUGGCACUAUGAACGCUCUGUGCCAGUCCUGUCCUGCUGCAGGCACAGAUGCUUUCCAUUCCAUUCGAACUUCUCCAUCUCAUCGUUUCAGGGAUUAAUUGAAGUGUUUCUUCCUCCUCUCUCCCUCCUUCCCUCCUGUUACGUACAGCUGCGCAUGGAUUUUGGGGUCACGCUCGUUUACAUCAGUUCUAUUUACAUGAAUGGUGUUUGUUUUUGGAAAAGCAGCAGAAAUCCCAUACAAACACUCGUUCCGUGCAUCCCACUGCUGCCAGCUCCGGGACAACCCCUGCCCACAGCUCAGUAGCCCCAUGUGCCAGCUGAGAAGUCCCUGCCGUGGUCACAGACAGCUCUGGCGUGGGCACGUGGUGACCCGCUGUGGGUGGGUUGGGUUGGAUGCCGAAAGCCGCUGCAUCCGGGGGCGGUGGGGAUCAGCUUGGGGAGACCCUAACCCUAACGCGCAGGGAGAUCGGGGUGGGGGAGAGCGUUUAAGAAGAAGGAAAAGCAAGGGGAGGGAGGAGGUAUGAUUAUUUUUUUCAAACAGCUCUCAGCUGCGGGGUGACUUUAAAGCUCCCGUUCCCUUUCUGGGGGUCAGGCGGGCAGAGCCCGGCCCGCAGCGGCGUGGUGCUUUGUCGGAGCGGCUGCGGUCGCGGUUAUUAACGGGGAUGCAGAGACCCAGAGCCUCAGAUCUCUGUGCGCUGCUGAGGGAAAUAAGCAGAGCCGCCUUAUCACGCUCAUUUAACUGGUUAAUACAUCUUCAGAGCAAAUAAUGCAGUCUGUGGGUGAAUUGCUUAACCAACCUCAUUACUAUUGUGCAUUUAGCAGCUUGGAGGAAGAUAAUACCUUUCAGGUUUGACCCAAUUUUAGUUUUUGUUGUCAUAACCAUGGAAAAUCGACCUUCAGAGACCCUCAGCAGUGAGCCUGAAUAGGAAGUGAUUUACAGCAAAAGUGCUGCGCGGAAUACUUAAUGCACUUGUGCAGAAGAACAGACUGCACUGCUCCUCUGGCACCCGGCCCCCCCGCAGCAGGUGCUGCCCACGCUCUGCCCCCGGGCACACGCUGCCCCUGCACGGUCCCUGUGGGUUGGGGACGGGGCUGCCGUGGCUGGGGGAUGCCGCUGCCGACCCUGACCACAGCAUUGGGAAAAACACAGAGAAGGGCAGAGGGUGUUCCUAAUGGUGAGGUGCCAGAGGGUUGCAACAGGGGGGCUGUGCCCGCAGCUGCUGUCUGCGUGGGGGCAGAUCCCUCUGACCGCCUCCCCGGGCAUUUCCCGAGGUUUUCUCCAUCCUGUUGUUCAAGAUGGUUUCUCCUCCUGCUCCGUGCCUGUCUCUCCCUUCUUUCCCGGCCCUUUAAUCUCAUAGAAAUGCACCUUCAGUACUAAAUGAGGCUGUGAUAACUCCCUGUUCUCUGGAGCUGGGCUCCAACAUGCAAAUGCAGCGAGCGGGGCACAUCCUGCUCCCAGCGCCUCGCUGCCGCCCGCUCCGCUCGGCUCCUUAAUGAGCCCCGUCCUUUGGCUCGCUCAGCGUUCCCUGCCCGCAGCCUUUCAGGACCUCGCGUUGCACAUCGUGAGCAGCAUGCACCGUGCGCCGUUUGCAGCUCGUUAUCUCGGGCUCUGCAGCACCGCAUGCUGAUGGCACGGCCGCUGCUCGCCCGCAGCCCCGGGGGCUCCACGCGGGGCCCUUUGCAGCACGGGGCCCAGUGACAGCAGGAAGGUGUGCGUUGUGGUUUUGGGGCUGCAUGGGCGCGGGGAUGAGCUCCGCUCCGCGCCCUUGGGAUUGCUUUCAUUCUGCUGCUUUGCAGCUGAAGGAGAAGCUGCCCCCUCAGCGCAGCAGUUCAGAGUCUUUAGCCUUCCUCUGUGUCACCUCUACGGCCACGGAUACCUCCAGGUGUGACGUAAGUGAGGCUUGGGGAGAAACAUCUUCUGUUCAGCAUCGAAAUCCUAUUACCAAACGCUGUGUUCUGCUGCACAGAUAUCAGCGCGGCGCAGAUAAGUGGGAAAUAGCUCCUGAUCUCGGCUGCCGCAGCCGCUCUAUCUGGGGCUGCACAGGCUCCGAGUGCUGCUUCAGUGCAUUUGCUGCUGAAAGAGUCCCCGCUCUCCCCCGCUGCUGGAACAAAAGGAGAAUAGCUGCUCGUGUUCGCCUUCACAGCCCUCCCCUCCGCCUCCCUUCCCCCCCUCCCCAGCCCAAAAGGAUGGUUCUGCGUGGCAGCGCUGCUGCUGCAGUGGAACCCAAGUCACGGAUGUUUAUGGGCACUUGUCCUGCGGAGAUGGGGCUGGGGCUGGGGCAGAGCAUCCUCCCAGUAGCCCCGAAAUGAGCGGCUGCGGUGGUAUUGGGGUUGGCCUUGGGAUCGCUGCCGCAGUGCCUGUUAUCGCUGCGUCUCCUCCCCGGGGUGCUGCUGGCUUUGAUAAACCCUCUCUUCAGCCUUCCCUGGGUUGGGUUGUAGAUCCAAUCGCAAUGGUUUAUUGUCUGGGACCAGCUCAGCAGCACGCAGGGAGCGGUGCGCCUGGGGAUCGGUAACGUGCUCCCACAUCCCACGUUCAUUGCACAUAAGAACGGAGUCAAACGGUAUCCCAAGUUGGAAGGAGCCCACGGGGACCACAGAACCCAACCCCAGCACCAGCCCAACCCAAACCCUGUGUCAGAGAGCGGUGUCCCAGCUCUCACUGAGCUCCAGCAGCCUGACCCUCCCCUGCCACAGCUCCAUGACAUUCCCUUGGGUCUCAAGCACCCCAAUCUUUUUGUCAUCUUGGAUAAACCCCGCAAUGCAAGAGUGGAACUGCGGGUGGAUGCGUCCGUGCUGGGGAGAGGAGCCCAGCAGUGCUGCCCGUGGGCUAUGGGCACCCUGGGGCUGUGGGUCCCCUGCCUGCAGGAAGCGGUUUGGCGGUGAUUAACGGCAGCGGUGCCGUGGGAGAGCACAGGAGCCGUGUGCGUGAUUAAAAACUGCUCUCAGGAGCCCGCACGGCUGAAUCUCCACUUAACCCUGCGCUCCGCUUCGGUGUCUGGUAACAAAAAUAAUCAAAGGAGGAGAGGAGCAGAGCUGCGAGUGGAGCUUAAUUUGAGGGAGAGCAGCAAAUGGGUUUCCGUGCAGGGUGGAUUAGGAAAUUGGGCUGUGACAGAUUGACUUCAGAGGUGACUGAUGGCGGGGGCUGGGGAGGGGCUUUGAAGCGUACGGUUCUGUUGAGCUGCGCUCUUGCUACACGCGUUAAUCAGGAGCAGAGCCUAAUGAGCGGGAAUAAUUGGAUGGAAGGGGAAUUCCAGCAGGUUGCGGAAGCCUGGGGACUCCCUGCACGGCUCACGGAUCCGCUCCUCCCCAGGGCUCUCCGUGGUCCCGCAGGUGCAGUGCUGCAGGCUGCAUGCAGUGGGGAUGCCGGGGGCUGAGGGCACCCCGUGCGCAGUGCCAGUGCCUGAGCGGCUCCCUGGGCUCCUGGCAGCGGCUCUCAGUCCCUUUGCAGCAUUAUGGGAUGGGGCGGCCAUGCGGCUGCUGCAUGGAGACUGAUGGCCCCGUCCAGGUGCAGCGCUGCUCACUGCUGGGAUCCCAUGUAAAUCUGUGCUGGUGGUGCCAUUGGCAGUGCCCUGUCCUGGUGUCACCACUGAUCCUCACCCAGAGCUCCGUGCUGCCUUUCCCCGGCCCUGGGCUGCUUGGAACGGGAGGGUUGCUGGUGUUCUGUGCUGCUAUGGGCACUCUUUUCCCCUCUUCUCUUUGCUUUGUAACGAGCCAACCUUGGAGGACCUUGAGAGACGCUCCCACCGCUUGCCAGUCUUAUCUACCACCCUCUGCCCCCUGUUCUCCCAUGGGGAUAAAUCUGCUCCUGGUGUGGGGCCCGUCUCACUGCACCAGAGACUCCAUCACUUACGCAGGGCUGGGGGGCCACUGCUGGGGAUCGUGGGGUGGAUGGCAAAUACUCAGUGCCAAGAUUGAUGCUGUCCCACCCAGCGUGGGGAGAAAGGCCGUGACAGCGGGGGAUACACAAUAAAGGAUUGCCCACUCUGCCCAGUGGGGGGAAAGCAAAAUGGAGCCACUUGAACACAAUGUGGGACUGCAGCUGCCUCCACGGGGGAGCUGAGGGGCUGGGUGUGUUUGCCUCUCCCCGUCCCCAGGCUGUGUGCUGCAUCCUGCUCUUGGGAUGCCCCCACCAAGGGGGAACCCCGAGCCCAGGGAGGGCUGCGCUGUGCUCCCUGCAGCCAGGUGGGACCGCGAGUUGUGUGCUGGGAUGGGGCAAAGCGGACAUGAGCCCCUGCAAGCUGUGCCGCUCAGCAGCUCUGCUGCAUCCUCCUCCGUUAUUAGCAGUGAUGCCUACACAGGGACGGCACUGGAGCCUCUCCCUCUCUCUUGCAGGCUGAGCAGCCGCUGCUGUGAGACCCCAACGGCUCCUCCCGACCGCACGCAGGGGCAGACACCAGCGUGAGCUCCAGCCUGCGCCCACGACACCUCUCCGCCCCCCAGAGAGCCCAACGCGAGCACCGCGGGAGGAACUUGGCUGCAUAAAGCUCCUUGCACCGGUGCUGCACCGCAGCUUCCCGCUGCCCACCCGGGCACCUUCCCACAGCCACAGCCCCCCGUGGCCCUGCAGCAGCAUGCCGGCCACCCAGCCCUGAGCGCCCACACCUUGCAUGCACUGUGCUGCCCUGGGGGCUGCAGCUGGACGGAGGGGACGGAGCCCACCAAGGAGCAGCGCCCAGAGCUGCCCACUGCCCCCCGCCGAUCCGUGGAGCUGCGCUGCACCCACUGCCAACAUGAUGAUGUAUUUUUGGGUAGGUACCGCCGCCAGGGCUGGGUGCUUCCCCUCCCUCUUUGCUGGGGCUUUGCUUGGGGUUCGGGUUGUUCUCUGCCGGUGUCGCUUCCCAGCAGCGCUGCCUGCCAAAGGAGUCAUCCCCUCCUCCAGCCGGGUGCAGGCAGCGUGUGGUUGUGGUGCCAUGGAGGAGCUGAGCAGGGUUCCCUCCUCAUCCCUGCCCCAGAGCAAAGGCAGACCCCAUGGCUGGGAGUCCCUCACCCGGCCCUGUCCUGCCCAGAAGUGCUCUCCCCUCUCCCAGUGCUCCAUGCGGGUGCGUGGGGUCGGUGUGCAGCAGCUUGGGCACAGCUCCUGCUGGGGGUGCUGCUCAGAUAGGGAGGGCUCUGUUGGCUGCCCCAAGGACAUUUGUGCUGGGAGAGGUGGUGUGGUCUGUGCUCUGUGGGACGAGACAAUCCCAGCCCUUCCCUCAUCCCAGGAGGUCCCUGCGCCUCUCCGGCAGCUCUGCCUGUGAUAGUGUGAGUUGGGCUCUGCUCGCACAGAGGCCUUCGUGUGGGAUCAGUGCUGCAGCCCAGGUGUGGGGCUGGAUCUGGCCUGGGACUGGGGAAGGGAUCUCUGCAGAAAUCCCUGCCCACCCCAUGAGCUCGGAGCAGGGGUUGGGGCUGUGCAGGUGCUCUGCAGCAGCCGUGCCCAGGGGCAGGAUGCUGAGUGUGGGUAUGGGUGCGAGCUUGCUGAUGGUGCACUUGGGACUGUGAGCAAAGAGGAAGGGACCCACGAGUCAGGAGCCUGCGGGGCUGAUGGAGCUGUUCCUGCCAGGGCGUUAAAGCUGCCCAGAGACUUAGCGAGCUGCUGCAGCUUUGGAAGCACACUGCUUUCUGGAGGUUCUGCUUGCAGCUCCAUGGCGUCGCGUGGCUUUGCAAGCUGGUGCAGGGCUGCACGGCCAGGAGCAGCACCCGGGAUACGUUCUCUGUGCUGGGGUGCAGUGCCCAAGGGUCUCCCUUUCUAUGGGUGCCGGUACCCUUGGAUGGGGCAGCGACUAUUUUGCUCCCAGCGCGGUGCCUGAGCAUCAUUUCUUGGCGCUUGUGGACAUCUUUCCAUUGCAAGUGUGGGAGGAAGGGGAAGGUCUGGUCCCUGCACGGCAGGAGCGCGGCCGGGAGCACUGCAGGAGCUCUGCGGUGGCAAUCGGCAGCGGGCGGCUCGGUAAUCGACACCGCAACAGGCUGAGACGCCAAAGCAAAGCAUCUUCAAAUUAGCCGUAAUUGCAGGAGAAAUAAAGAGCAUGCGGGGCGAGUGGAGGGAGGGUUCUAUAAAUAUUAUGAUUUUUAAAGUUUGCCCUGGAGUCCUAGAGACUGUUUAAACGCUAAUAUCCUGUCUGUGCAUUUAAAAAGCCUUAUAAUGAGGAUGGAGUGUCUGCUUCCCCAGCACCUCCUGCCUCGCGCUCCCACGCCGCCCACCUCACCUGCCGCGUCCCAGCGUGGUGCAGCACCCCCUGCUUCCCCCAUUGCCGGGGCUGCUCCGUGCCCCAAAGCCUGCAGAGCACCGUGCUGCAGCCCUGCAGUGCAGAUGGCAGCCCAGCACACAGCCCUGCCGCGGGCCAGAGGUGUGCAUUCUCCUGGGUACCCAUGAGGACUUGUUCCAGGGAAGGGGAAGCUCUGGGAAGGCGCCGUGUUAAGGCUCUGCAGGCUCUGGUUCCUCUCAGUGCUUUGCUGAGCUGGGAGAGAACUCAACCACCCUCAUCCAGCAGGACUGCUCCUGCCUCUGGAGGGCACGAUGUUGAGCACCUGUACCUAGGAGAGUAAAUCCUGGGGGCUCCUGUCCUGACAUGUACCCCUGUGUCAUGGAAAGAGGUCCCAGAUCUGUCUGGGCCCUGGGGGGUUCGCUGCCCUUUGGAGCGAUGCGAUGGGAGGGCUGAGAUUGGAGGGAGCUGUGGGGAAGCCCUGCAUCCCUUCCAUGCUGCACGGGGCUGCUGCUGGCCGUGGGCUGGCGCAGGGCUCCCCGCUGUGUGCCACUGCUGGAGCCCUGGGUUCUCGGCAGCAUCUGCUCUGCCACGGUUCUGCUGCCUGCACGUUAAUUCUCAUUAAAUCCGGGGAGCCCAAUUGCCUUUUCAUGUAAAUAUUUUGUCAAGUGAAAGGGCUUUAGGAAGGGCUGUGCUGAUGGAAGGAGAAAAGCCAGGCUUUCUCGCAGGUGCGGUGGCAAUCUCGUGCCUGCCCUUCCUCAUUAAAGCGUGACCUGUGCCCUGGUGCAGGCAGCUGCUCUGUGCCCGGUGAGCCCAGAGCUGUGCACAGCCACCAGGAGCUGCUGGGCACCAGGGGCUGCGGGGCAGCGCCCACCCCCCCCACUGCCCUCGUGUGCUCUGCUCCGCUCACCUGCAGCAGCGCCGGGGGAUGGAGGAGCAUCUCAUGGCCCCAUCCCUUCUCCCCUCCUCGCCGUGGGCGAGCAAAGUUUCAGCGAGCUGAUAUUUCUCCCUUGUUCCCAUUAAACUUUCAUGCGCUUUCUCUGCAUUUCUGCUCCCCUCCCGGCUGCUCCAGCUGCUGUCCCAGAUAGCUGCUGUCGGUUGUGGUCCCCUCCUUAUCCGAUGAGGUCAUGGUUGGUGCCGGUGACAUCACCACCACUGCCUGGGGACCAUGACCGUGCCGCUGUGACCGGCGCUGGGAGCAUGGAGCAGCAUCAGGGCCACAAUCUGGGUCAGCAGCCGCAGGUGCGCUGGGAGCGGCGCGGAGCCAAGGCUUCCUUUCUGUGAAAAUCCCUGCCUUGUUUUUGGAGUUUAGAGCAGACAGCGGCUUCACCAGCCCCCUGAGAGCCACCGGCGCGGGGGGGUGGGGAACGCGGGAAGGAGGCUUAAUUGCUUGCAGAGGGGGCUCCCCCAGGUGUCCCCAUGGAGCGAUGCUGGAUGUGGGAGUCCCACGUGGCAGCGUCCCGCAGCGCUCACCACUCUGUUCCCUGCCGCUGCGCGCCCCGUGGCCCCGCGUUCCCUCUCCCCAGCGACUUGCUGGAGCGAACCCCUCCUCCCCGAUCCUCUUUCCCUCUCUGUGUUUUGGCUGCACAGCUGUCGGGGUGCCUGGUGGAGGGGUGAGCCUCCUGGGACUGCGUCUUCGCUGCGUUGCCUGUUGCCGGCACCGCGUGCAGCCACUGUGCAGCCCCACACGAGCCUCUCUGCUGCCCUUAAAUGUGUGUGCUCACUGCUGAGCCCCCGUCUGUGGCUGCUGGGGUUUCUCUGCUUGCAGCCUGCUGCCAGGGCUCCCUGCAGCCCAUGGCUCCCAUCUCCUGGGGAGAUGUCAGGAAGCACCCAUUGCUCCCCACCACGCAGUCCUGCCUGUUCCCUGGGGCCGUGGAGCUGUCUGACUCCCCCCGCCAGCAUAGGGAAGGCCAAUGGGGACCUGGAGCUGGUGGCUGCCCUCGGGGAGAGCCAAUUCCCCGGGCUCCCUCCCCAACAUCCCACCUGUGCUCCCUGCGUUGUCCCCACACCCGGUGGGGAUUGUCUGUAAUGGCCAUAUUGAAUUCUAAUUCACUUGUCAGUUUGAAUCACACCUGUCUUUCAGAGAAGGAGCAAUAAACCAGAAAUCUAUGGAUGGCUGUGCGGGAGGCAGGGAGCAUGCUGGGGCUCAGGGCAGCCCCUGAUUGCUGCUCCAGGGCCAGGAGCUGCAGUGCAGAGAGCGAUGGUGGUGCUGGAGCAGGAGACAGUGCUUUAGUUUGCGUGCUGUCAGUGUAGGGUGCAGUGUUGGCCCACUGAAGCCUGAUGCUGCUCAGCAGCAGAGGAGGUGGGGUGGGCAGGAGAGAGCUUGGGCAGCAGAGCUGGGUGUGUGCACAGUGAUGGUAUGGAGCGGGCUGAGGUGUGGGGCAGGGACCUUCCUGCAGUGGUGCAGAGCCCUUGGCACCUGUCUGUCCCUUGUCUGUCCCCUCCCGCUGUCCUGGUCUGCAUGCAGCACUGCGUGCUCCUUGAGGACAGCGGGUGUGUGGGCCCAUCCCCUCACCCCAGCUCCGGAGCUCCCUUCGAUCACACCAGCUCAGAUCCACCAUCACCUUCGUCUCAUUGCUGUAUGUCUAUGCCUAGCUACUAAUGAGCUUUUAAUUAAUGAGUGCCUCGGCUUGGGGGCACUGUGGAGUGGGUAGGAGGAGAGGACCAGGUGUGCACUGUGCUUGAGGGGUGCUUUGCUCACAGCUGCAUUCUGGUGGUGCUCUGGGGCUCGGGGCAGAACUCUGAGCUGCGCUCUGGAUGGAUGACACAGCCCCGAUCGCCACUUGGGUGAAGUUUUCCAGUGGAAAAAAGAGCUGAGCACAUGGCAGAUGUAACCACACAUCUCCGGGCACCCUGCAGCCGCGCUGGGCCACUAUCAUUAACAUACCCCCCUGUGCAUCCCAGGAGCAGCGCAGGGCUUGGCCUUCCCGCAGGCAGGUCCCUCCUUCCAGCCCUCCCAGCACGAUGCCAGCUGCCGGGCUCCGGUGUUCUGCUGGGAUCUGAGCCGGUGUCCGGGGCCGCUCCCACCCUGGUGCCACGCUGUUCUCCCUCUUCCAGAAAACAAAACCGAGCAGCCCUCAAGGGUUCAUUUAAAAUAAAUAAAAAAUGAAAAUAGUGCUGAUUUGAAGGAAAGCCAGCCCCAUCCUGUGCAUGGGAGCGCGUCGCCAACCCAUCCCCGAAGGGCAGAGAGAAAGAUGUGCUUAGAACUGCAGCCCUGUGCAACUUCUGCCUUUGAUCAUAUAUCUUACAUGUGCCCUUUGCUUUCCCUCUUCUGAUAUUUAUUAGGUUUAAUUUUACUGGGACACGGCUCUAAGUGAGACAGAUGGAACGGGGUCUGUGUGCCUGGUGAACACUUCUUAAUUAAACAGAUAAAUAAACUUUCCUUCCUGGAGACUUUGAGUUUCGGAGGGGUUCCUCUGGGGCUGCGGCUCUGCAGGGCUGCGCAGCUCUGGCCAGGACUCCCUGGCACGACCGUGCCAACAGCCAGGAUGGGUGGAAGCAGCAGGGCAAGGGAAAUGGGCCACGGGUGGUGGCAAGGACCUGUCCCUACCCUGAGCUGGCAGUGGGCUGGCACAGCCCUUCUAUGCUUGUGCUCCAUGGGUGCUCCCCGCUGCAGCCGGGCAGAUGCUGGGGAUGGGUGCAGGAGGGAGAGAGGAGACACGAGCGCUCCUCGGCUCCUGGAGCCGCACCUGGUUCCUCCAUCCCAUGGGAUUUUACAUCAUGCACAGGAGCACGGAGAUAACCACUGCUGUGUUGGGGAGAGGAGCACCGGGAAAAUGUGGCAAAUCCCUGCUGCUGAUGGUACAGAGGGCUCCUGGACCGAGUGCCUGCAGCCCGCUGGGGCAGAGCUGGGCACGGCUGCCAGCACCCGCUCCCUGCUGGAGCGCUGCCUCUCCUCGCUCCUCGGUGCCGGCCCUGCUGGCACAGGGCAGUGCCAGAACUUGCGGCGCUGCCACCCUCCAGGAGCGCGUUUGAGUCACCCUGCCCGGAGCCAGGCUCCGACGAGGGGGAGGACGGGCAGAUGACCUCAUCCUGGAGCCGCUCUCCCCCAGUGCUCACCUCACGUGGUGUGCUUGGUUGGAUGCUGUGGGCCGUGCCCUUCCUUUUUCACCUCUGCGGAAGAGCAGCGGGGUUGUCUGCUGAGCAGGGCAUCCUCACCCUGCGCCAGGUUGGGGGUGUGUGGUGUACACCCCACUCUGCAGCUGCACAAGGGGCUUUGGGGACAUGCUCCUCUGCCCUUGCACAGCUGCCCUGGACACUGGAGCACACAGGGGAGAGCAGCGUGGAGGCUGUAGGGCUCUGGAGCAGGGGAGCCAGAGGCAAGGAGAGAGCUCAGGGUCUGAGCACCAUGGUGCCUGGGGAGGGUCACUGCGUCGGGCUGGGGUCCCUCGUGGUCCCACAGGAGCUGGAGGGUGAGUGGCCGUGGUGGGACAGGGGAGCUCACGGAGCGUGCCAGCAGUAGCUGAGGGUGCUGCUGGCAGUGGGUGCUGCUGCCUGGAUCCUUGUUCUCGGCAGUGAGGGAUGAUGGGGGUGAGAACUCCCCCCCAGUCUGGGGUCCCCUCCCUGAUUUGGCAUCCUGUGUCCCUCAGCAGCGCAUUCUGUGCAGCGGCAGGACCCCAUGCAGGGUUAGGACCCCCCCCGGCCCCCAGCUGCCCUCUGUUCAGGAUGGCUUUUCCUGGAGCAGUGGUUUCUGCGAGGUUCUGCCUGGUGGCCCGGGGUUGGCCAUGCAAUACGCCUCGUCUGAUGAGUAUCUGCAGCAGAAACUGGAACCGCUGCGAGUGUACCAGGACACUGCAGCAUGUCGCUAUGUCUAGGGAUACUGUGGAAAAUCCCAGCCUCCAAAUAGGGCCGUUCAUGUGCUGGAGGCUCCGGAGGAGACAGAGCAUCAGCAGCUGCUGGCACAGACCUGCCUUUGUGCAUCACAUUUGGCCAAGAUGGAAACUGAACGGAACCCAGGUUUCAUUUCCCACAUAUCCCAGGACAAAGCCAUCCCGGCAGCUCCGUGGCCGUGCCGCGGUGCCAGCCCCUGUGUGCGGGUGGGCAGCGCGGGGCGCGGGGCCGGGACCCCCGUGCCAGUACCGGGCUCUGCGGCUCCCGGGGCUCCGCGGCGGGUGGGACCGGGCUGAGCGCACGCGGCUGUCCCUCGCGGGUGCCGGCACGUAGGCUAUUGCCAUGGCAGCUGUGACAAAGGUGUGCGUGGUAUCGAUUUGUCAGGGCUGCUGGCAGCAUC